rnacentral:rRNA from 1 species
CCCUUAGAUGUUCUGGGCCGCACGCGCGCUACACUGAUGAAUUCAACGAGCUCCUAACCUAGGCCGAAGGGUCCGGGUAAUCUUUGAAAUUUCAUCGUGAUGGGGAUAGAUUAUUGCAAUUAUUAAUCUUCAACGAGGAAUUCCUAGUAAGCGCGAGUCAUCAGCUCGCGUUGAUUACGUCCCUGCCCUUUGUACACACCGCCCGUCGCACCUACCGAUUGAAUGGUCCGGUGAAAUCUCGGGACGGCGGCUUGGUCGCUUGCGUCCGACUGCUGAAACUUGAUUAAACCAUAUCAUUUAGAGGAAGGUGAAGUCGUAACA